ACUCUCAUCCCUCCCUCUAUGCAUUCCGCUCUACCUCACAAUGGAUUAUGACUUGCACCCCCCAUGCCAGCCUUUGGCCCAGACCCUUUUUCACAUAAAAACUUCAGUCCCACUAUCAAAUCUACCCUUUUGUGACCCUGCCCCUCCCUCCUCUCCUGUAACCCAGUCUUCCUCCCAACAGACUACCCCUACUGAGUCCUCUGAGUCACCUACCCCAAACCCCUCUACCCUUUACAUCAAACCCCUCACAUGCUUAUCAUUCUCACUACCACUCUCCUCCCCAUGAGGGACAACAAAUGUGGACAGUAUCUUACAGCCAGCCGAUGAGGCUAAAAUCCAUGACAAUCACAAAGGCACUGGGCCAGUUACUGUUCCUAGACAGGAUUCUAGAUGGAGCCACAAGCCCAACCUCAGAGACUGCAAAAUUGCCAAGACUUUCCCCAAUAUAGUCUCACUUGCAUAAAUAGCUUACAGGGCCACUAGAAGAGGGACUAUCCCUACUCCAAUACUGGAGUGGGGCCAUCCACUCCUGCAGCCUGCCCUGAUGACCUAAUGGGACCUGUUCUUGUAGCCAAAGACUGAUGGGGCCCUCAGCUCUUGUGACCCCAGCCCACCACCACACAAGAGCCCGGGGAAACUCUUCUGCUCCAGGGUACCUAUUAAACUCACUAACCUACAAGUUCAAAUCAACUCACUGGCUGCUCUUAUACUCCAUAACAGCAAUGUCAUACACUUAUUCACCACAAAAAG
ensembl:lncRNA